CUACGGGAGGCAGCAGUGAGGAAUCUUAGACAAUGGGCGCAAGCCUGAUCUAGCCAUGCCGCGUGUGUGAUGAAGGCCUUAGGGUCGUAAAGCACUUUCGCCAGAGAUGAUAAUGACAGUAUCUGGUAAAGAAACCCCGGCUAACUCCGUGCCAGCAGCCGCGGUAAUACGGAGGGGGUUAGCGUUGUUCGGAAUUACUGGGCGUAAAGCGCACGUAGGCGGACUGGAAAGUUGGGGGUGAAAUCCCAGGGCUCAACCCUGGAACUGCCUCCAAAACUAUCAGUCUAGAGUUCGAGAGAGGUGAGUGGAAUUCCGAGUGUAGAGGUGAAAUUCGUAGAUAUUCGGAGGAACACCAGUGGCGAAGGCGGCUCACUGGCUCGAUACUGACGCUGAGGUGCGAAAGUGUGGGGAGCAAACAGGAUUAGAUACCCUGGUAGUCCACACCGUAAACGAUGAAUGCCAGUCGUCAGCAAGCAUGCUUGUUGGUGACACACCUAACGGAUUAAGCAUUCCGCCUGGGGAGUACGGUCGCAAGAUUAAAACUCAAAGGAAUUGACGG
rnacentral:rRNA from 1 species